AUCUUUUUGUAGUUCAUAAGGGUGAUGAUGUGUUUUCACUCAUGUAUAAGAUGUGCCUCCCUCAAACCUUGUUAUGAUGUCAGCGUAUUACCUGUCUGACG